rnacentral:rRNA from 1 species
AGCGGUGGAGUAUGUGGCUUAAUUCGAUGCAACGCGAAGAACCUUACCCGGAUUUGACAUGGUUGUGGUAGAACACUGAAAGGUGGACGACCCCGCAAGGGGAGCAAUCACAGGUGCUGCAUGGCUGUCGUCAGCUCGUGUCGUGAGAUGUUCUGUUAAGUCAGGCAACGAGCGCAACCCACGCCUCUAGUUACCAGCGGGUAAAGCCGGGGACUCUAGAGGGACAAACCCGUAAGGGUGGGAAGGUGUGGAUGACGUCAAGUCAGUAUGG